rnacentral:rRNA from 1 species
UAGGGAAUAUUGGACAAUGGGCGAAAGCCUGAUCCAGCCAUGCCGCGUGAGUGAUGAAGGCCUUAGGGUUGUAAAGCUCUUUCAGCGGGGAAGAUAAUGACGGUACCCGCAGAAGAAGCCCCGGCUAACUUCGUGCCAGCAGCCGCGGUAAUACGAAGGGGGCUAGCGUUGCUCGGAACCACUGGGCGUAAAGCGCACGUAGGCGGCUUUCUAAGUCAGGGGUGAAAUCCUGGAGCUCAACUCCAGAACUGCCUUUGAUACUGGAAAGCUUGAGUUCGGGAGAGGUAAGUGAAACUGCGAGUGUAGAGGUGAAAUUCGUAGAUAUUCGCAAGAACACCAGGGGCGAAGGCGGCUCACUGGCCCUAUACUGACGCUGAGGUGCGAAAGCGUGGGGAGCAAACA